GUAUGUUCAUGAACAUGCUAAACUAUGGUUUAUGAUAUAGCAUUAGAGCAGAGCUUCUCAACCUCAGCACUCCUGACACUCUGGGCCAGAGAGAUCUCUGGAGCAGGGGGCUUCCUGUGUACUGUAUGGGGUUCAGGAGAAGCCCUGGCCUCUGCACACUGAAUACCAAUAGUAGCUCCUGAGUUGUGACAACCAAAAAUGUCUCUAUCCCUGGGGUGGCGGGGGAAAUCACACUGCAUAAGAGCCAUAAUCGGAGUAAAUGUAAAGUUCUAGAGGGGUUGAGAGUAGUUCAAUUCAAGGGGUAGAAGCAACCCCCUGGGACCUUACUCACAGGCUCACAGAGCACACAGAAUGAGAUGCAAAUAAAAGUUGCUUCUGGCCGAUUCUAAGAGAAACAGCAAAGAGAAGAUGAGGGUUGUACUGAAAAGCCACAGGAACAGAAAGGAAUUUGAACAAGCUACUCAGGGCAACUAGGUAGGGCUGGUGAGGUCAUACUGUCAACAGCAUUAAGUGAUGCCAAGUCUGUUGUCUGGCAUGGGCUUAGCUACCCCUUGGUGAGAGUCGGGAGCCAGGAAUGCAGGGAUUGCUCCCGUGGGUGGGAGAUUGGGUUGGGAAAUGUAAAGCUCUCUUUCCUUACCAAGUUUGUUUAACAUGGCGCUUCCCACCCCACCCCAACCACAUCUUCAUGCUACUUCAAGCUGGGAGGAGCCAAGUUCCAGAUGUAGCGAAUCUCUGCCUGUGUGGACAAAGAGACACAUUCAGAGGUGAGCCCAGAGGGGGUAAAGUGGACUGGGGAGAACUUCGGAGGAUGUUCAUGUCCAGGAGCAGCCCCACGCCCUGUAUGGUCGGUGUCUAGAGCCUCACAGCAACUAAGACCAACCCAGCUCUCAGAAGAAGGAAUGUCAAAAUGUCAUGUUCAAUUUUACAUUCAGUGCCUGGAAUCUUUUCUUCACAAUUGAAAUGAAAUGUGCUGAAGGAGGUGAAUCCAUGCAUUAAUCUUCAGCUCACAAAGGAAAUACUACAUAAGAAGCAAGACCACAGACUCAAGAAGGACAUAAUUGGAUUUUUUUUGCCAUGGCCUGGAAAGAAAGGUACACACAGUUAACCACAAAACAGGCCUCUCUGAAAAAGCCAUUGCCAUGGACUGCCAGACAGACAAUGACAAGACACAAAUACCUUCUGGUGUGUGAGCCACGGGACAUGUGAGCUUCCCCGCUGAUGCUCCUCUUAUAUCAAAGAUCACUUUCACAACAUGAGCGACUAUCUUUUAUCAAACCAAUGAUCACCUGCAAGCUAUGGUAUAUUUUUGCAGCUGUGUAGAGCUAUGUGGCAUGAGAAUGUGGGACUUAUAAAUUGCUGAUCCAAUAAAUAGACAUUAUGGGCAACAGUGUCUUAUCAGCUAGUGUGUACUAAGGUUUCAGGAACAGUUGUUCUGACCUUACUAUCCAACGAGGAGUAACUGAUUCACUUCUCAGAGGUAUAUUAACCUAAUUUGGACAUCACAGAAUGCCUGAAAAAUAAUUCUUCAGUGCAUUAAACAGUCCCCUGGAUCUAUUAAAGUAAGCUUAU
rnacentral:lncRNA from 1 species